GCAGGAUUGACAGAUUUCGAUGACAGUUGCUGAUUUGAUGCUGCGGGUUGUCAACUGCGGAAAUUCAAAUGUCAAAGAUGAAAUUCUGCGAAUGUUUGACAUCGAUUUUUAAUGUAUGCAACAUUAUGCAUUCUGCAAUACGUAAUGUGUUGGUAUACGAUUAACCUAAAUCUUUGACAGGAAUGAAUCGAAUUAAAUGACAGUUGCUGAUUUGACGUCUGAGAUGUCACCAGUGGACAGAUUCAAAUUGCUGAAAGUUCAAAGGAUUCUCUCGGCUGUGCAGUCUCUAUCUCUGUUUCUUGUGGCCCCAUGAAAUGAGGCGACCUUGGGCCAAUUUUACCUACACUUCUCUCGCUCUACGGACGAAAGUGAUUUUAUCGAAAGCAAAGAACGACAAC